GUUCUCUCACCUAGCCCGCCCUUUCUCUCUAUCACUCCCCAUCUCUCGCACGCUUCCUCUCUCUAUCCCACUCUCUCUAUCCUACAACGAUGUGUGGGUCCGCCGCUAACCUACUCUCAACACGCCCAAUUAUGACGAGUUGUGAUGCUUGAGCGCUGAUGACCGGGUCCCAUUCCGAGAGCCAGAUGACGAGACUGCAGCGAGCCAUCGGCACCUGUCAGUAUCCCCACCCCAUAGGCUGGUGCGCACAACAAUGGCUAGUCUGUUUGAAGUUUGUCUCAGAAGUGUCCUGGAGGGUUUGGCCGAUCAGCUUACUAACAUAGGCUAGUUUACAUAUGUGACUAUGCCUAAUAUUGAAAUGGCAUUAUGCAAUUUAGGAUGCUGCAUUGCGUGCAAUACAUGGGUGCAUUUUUAGCCAAGGCCAUGUGUUGAUUUAACGCCGGCGCAUUGUACCAGACUAGUUUAGACUGGAUCUACUCUCGUCCCCUCCCCCUCGCGAAGGAAGAAGAGAGAAAAAAAACGUCGACCUGAUCGCCCAUUUAAAGGAAACCGGAGAACCCUCCACCGCCCCGCAACAGAUCGCCCCUGUCCUCCCAAGCAAAGACUUUGCUUCAUGCGUGCGUGCGCACUUUAUACGCGCGACAUCACCUGAGAGCAUGUGGUCAUUUCUCAACAUCAGCACCUGCACCAGGAUGGAGCGCCACUGACUCGCGCGCACCCUGACAAGAACCGCCCAGCAUAUAGUAUCAUACGGUAGUUCAGUUCAGUUUAAAAGAGAGAGUAUAUUCUGUUUUAAAGAAGUAUAAUAUAGCCUAUUAUCGAGAUGUCUGCACGUUUUAUGUUGUCGUAAUCUGAUCCAGUUGCGGUUUUCAACAACUACUUCCGUGCUGGCCAGAUUACUUGAAAAAGCUGUUUAUACGAAAUCUAAUGCCAUGCCUUUUUACGCUAGGGCUUUCAUGCAGAAAACUUCUGUGAGAUGCGUUUUGAUGAUGAAUUGACGCCUGUUUGGAGGUUUCUGCAGUGCUAAAGGUGCAGGAAGCAUCGCAGCAUUCUGCCAACCAAAUGUUUAGUUGUGUGCGUGUGCAUCUGUGUGAGCAACUGUAGACCUCAUCCUCAUAACUGCAGGCCAGCUGUAGUGUGCUCAGGUGUGUGUAUUGACCAGAGGUAUGUGUGUGAUGGGACAGCACAGUCUCAGCUUCAAGGCCACUUUACCUGGAUCCAUCUCUGUGAUGACUAGACUGCUGCAUUCUACAGGGCCUCUUGUAUGAUGGAGAGAAAGACUGUUCUGGUGGUACUGACAAGGGUGGCUGUGGUGAGUCCUCCAGUCCACUGAAAGGAUUUCUGUGAAGACCUUUGAUGCCAUCAGCAGAGCAGAGCAGGUUGUAUCAUUUGCAAAGAGAGAGAGUGUGUGUGUGUGUGUGAACCACUGUUUUGAAUUGGCAGAUUUAAUAGAAAAGACUAAUCUGUUGUAAUAUGUUUUCAGUACUCUAGAAAUCUAUCUUUUUUACACAUAUACAUACUUCUUUACACAUCAGAUACAUCUGAAAUACGACAAAUACUGAUAAUAUGAUGUGAUACUGAUAUAGUUAACAAUGUCCCAGAAUUGUAAUCACUUAAAUAGUGUUGAAAGAAUGCUUCCCUAAGUAUAAAGCUAUGAUAAUUAGGAAGAGAAAUCUAACAAUGAACAAACAGAAAGAGAAAUUUGUGUGAGAGAUAAUGUGUUUGUGUUUGUGUGUGUGUGUGUGUGUCCCUCUCUCUCUGUGUGUGUAUGUGUGUGGCAAAGGUAUGCAGAAGCAUAGAGGUCAUUUCCAGCUCAGUUCCUGCUGACAUGAUCACUCACUAUUGAGCUGUUGGUGAUGCAAGUAUUCUUAUGUGUGUAUGUGUGUGUGUGUAUGUGUAGUAAUGUGAGUGUCCGAGCGGAUGAAAAGACUCAGGCAUUGAAACUAAAGUUGGAGUAAUUCCUCUUAUUUUUAUUUGUAAGCUACCGGCAGGUUUAGGAGACAAAACAAUACAAAUAAAGAAUAAACAAAAACACUGAUAAAAGACAGAAAACAAACAUGGGAAAAUGGCCACCAUGACUAGGCCCUGCAGAAUAACAAUCUCGACACCUACGACCUCUCAUGACAAAGGCGAACCUUGAAUGAAGCGUUCGACAACAUUUUCUAACAUUAUUAUGGUCACAACCAAAACACACAAUUGAUCACAAAUCAGUCAUCACAUUGACACGAUCUUAGAACCCCUACACUGCAUAAGCGCAUCACACUACUUCCUAACUUUAAUGUGAAGACAAGACAUCAACAAUGCGUUGCAAUCCCAAAAUAACACAAAGAAAAAUCGUCCCAAACACCCCUGCCUAAAUGAGCACUUCCCUUACGGGUGCCCAUCCCGACCAUUUAAAUGAGGCCCACCUCCUACACCCCGGAAGACUGGCAUGCAACAGGUAAGGUAAACAUUCAUUUGCAAAUUACAAAGUCCAACAUACAAACACAGUUGAAGCGAUCCCACUAAGAUGUAAAAUGUGCACACAAGAAAUCCUCCAACUGCCCUGACGUUAUGCUUCACACAACUAACCAUUUACUGUAGCGCUCCUUUUGGACACGGCAUGCUCAAUGUUCCAACGUUAAUUCACAAUACAUUGCCAUUUUCAACAUAUGCAUUUUAGAAACAUGUCAUUUAAUCACCCAGUACCAAAUGUCCCGUUUAUAACAUGUCAAUUAAUCACCCAGUCCAUAUCUCUACCAAAUGUCCCGUUUAUAAAAUAAACUCAGGUCCCAUUGUUCCUAAACUGGCGGGAAUGUGCCCGCCAAAGUGACAGACACGGUGCGCUCUGUCACAACGUUGGUGUGUGUGUUUGUAUGUAGGCUAUGUGUGUGAGGAGCAUAGGUCAUAGAUCAGUAGAGUAGUGUUGCCUGCAUCUUGUCCUCAGUUUUUGUCCUCAGAUGCCUGUUGGUGUGUGUGUGUGUGUGUGUGUGUGUGUGAGCGUGUUGACAGGCGGGUCACAGUGAAAUAUUCUGGCUGAAGAUUAAUGUUUUGUUAAAAAAAUAAAUCCUCCACCAUCUUUACACAAA